rnacentral:rRNA from 1 species
UCGCGGCCUAUCAGCUUGUUGGUGGGGUGAUGGCCUACCAAGGCUUUGACGGGUAGCCGGCCUGAGAGGGUGACCGGUCACAUUGGGACUGAGAUACGGCCCAGACUCCUACGGGAGGCAGCAGUGGGGAAUAUUGCACAAUGGGCGAAAGCCUGAUGCAGCGACGCCGCGUGAGGGAUGGAGGCCUUCGGGUUGUAAACCUCUUUCGCUCAUGGUCAAGCCGCAACUUAGGGUUGUGGUGAGGGUAGUGGGUAAAGAAGCGCCGGCUAACUACGUGCCAGCAGCCGCGGUAAUACGUAGGGCGCGAGCGUUGUCCGGAAUUAUUGGGCGUAAAGGGCUUGUAGGCGGUUGGUCGCGUCUGCCGUGAAAUCCUCUGGCUUAACUGGGGGCGUGCGGUGGGUACGGGCUGACUUGAGUGCGGUAGGGGAGACUGGAACUCCUGGUGUAGCGGUGGAAUGCGCAGAUAUCAGGAAGAACACCGGUGGCGAAGGCGGGUCUCUGGGCCGUUACUGACGCUGAGGAGCGAAAGCGUGGGGAGCGAACAGGAUUAGAUACCCUGGUAGUCCACGCUGUAAACGUUGGGCACUAGGUGUGGGGGCCACCCGUGGUUUCUGCGCCGUAGCUAACGCUUUAAGUGCCCCGCCUGGGGAGUACGGCCGCAAGGCUAAAACUCAAAGGAAUUGACGGC